rnacentral:lncRNA from 1 species
CAGACUAAAUAAAAUUUCAUUUUGAUUUGGCCUCCCGCUGAGAAUGGGACUGCUUUGUUUCAGCCGACAGAACCAGCAAGCCAGAAAGGACUUUAGGACUCCAGGGCAACUACUGAGGGAUAAUAUUACCAGGGUCAUUGUGGUAGAGGAAAUAUUUUUAUAUGGGCGUCAGGAAACGGUGGUCUGGCUAGUGACUGCAGUGGUGUGGAUGGUUACAUGA